rnacentral:lncRNA from 10 species
GUAAGAGCCAGCUGUGGCCAAUAGAACUGGGUAUAUACUUGAUCCUUGUUUACUGGGAUAAGCUCUCUGUUGCCCCAGGCAAUAAGCUGAUCUGUGAAGUGUACAGUGGUCUGAGCUCCCUGCUCAGCCCUAGGGGUUGGGGGACAAGGUAGGUGCUGCCAGAUCAGGCAGAUCCACCUCAGGUCCCCAUAUGGCUAGCACAAGCACCAGUGCCAAGAGACAAUCCAGUGGGUGGCCAGCAAGGACCCAGAGGUGUGCCUAGGUGUGAAGCUGAGAAACUGCUUCAGCCACAAGUUUUCUGCAAGGGGAAGGGAAGCAGCCUAAACUCCUAAUCCAGCAGAGUGAGUGUUCCAGAUGCCAGAAAAUCUGCCUGGGCAUGGUGUAUAGUGAACCCCAUUGCACCACAAUCUCUGCACAACAAGGGUUGGGUGGCUCAGGCUGCUGUUCCCAGUGAACAGGUGUUCUGGCUGCCUGGAGAUCUGCCUGGGUGUGGAGUGUAGACGGCCCAACUUCACCAAGAUCUCUACACAAGAUGGGUAGAGUAGCUGAAGCUGCUGAUCUGGGCAAGCAGACUUGCCCGGACUUCCUGGAGAUCUGCCUGGGCACAGAACAUAGUGGACCCCCUGCACCAAGAUCUCUGCACAGAAGGGGUGGAGAAACUCAGGCUGCUUGCCCAAACUGCACAAAGCACGAUUCCCUUGUACUAGGGCGCAUCCUGCGGCUGCAUCCUGCGCAUGAGAUGGACAUGAAGGGAACUCAGCUCCACCAAGAUCCGCCUGCAUGACCAGACCCUGAUGCGGGCAUUAGAGACGCGCCCGUGGAAUGCAGCCUAGUCUGACUGAGAACAGCCCUGUGAAUACAAAUGUUUCUAAAAUGGCUGACUCUGUACAAGAGUAAAUAAGAACCUUUCCAGCUUUUCAUUUAGUCACAAGAUCAGGAGGUCUCGUCACCCCAAAUAGAGUAGAGAAUUGAGGUAGUUUUCCAGCUGAGCCAGGCAAAGUAAGAAGAUGGGGGAAGGUGACUUUCCCAGCAAAGACCUUGCCUUUUAAUGUUCUUUUUAAAAGAAUAGAGCUCAGACUGAACUAAUCCCCCAUGAAUAUAUGCCUUAGGAAAUAAUUUUUAUUAAUAGCUGAAUAUUUUUACUUUCUUUCCCAGGCACCCAAAUAUUAGGCUUAUGAUAUUUAGUUGCAUGCAUAUAUCAUUGUGUCAAAGAAAAGGGGGAAAUCCAGCCUUAAUAAAAAAUAAUUUAUUAACUUUUCCAGGUCCUAUAAAUUUAAUAUGCUGUGGGUUCCUGCUCUCAUUGCAGAUUUCUUUUAGAAGUAUAUUUAUGAGUAUGAGCUUAUAAUAUUUUUCAACAGUUUAUCGGUAAAUACCAACAAAACAAAGAUCUCUGAUGCACAUAAUCCACAGAAACAUGGUUCGGGUGACUACAUGUCAGUUAGCCAUGCUAUUUGUUUUGUGUCAUUUUUCUCUCAACCAGUUCAUUUCUUUCCCCAAGAGAAAUAGCUGAAGCUGGUUUAUAUUGCUCCAUAAAUGUUAAGCAUUGAUGUAUUCAUUUUCUGAACACAAAAUAACAAUAAUUUUUUGUCACCCUCCUUCUAAAUCAUACUCCCUGUUCUUAACACUAUGUUUUAUGUUGUUGUUGUCGUUGUUAGGAUGCAAGUUUAUUUUAUUCUUUUUUGCAGUAAUAAUAACCACAAAAUAUAAUCUCUGUAUAAAUAUAAUUUUUCUUCUCCAUAAUUGCACAUAAAAUCUAUCCUACUUGGAAACUGCAGCAAGUAGAAGAAUCACUAUAAAUGCUGGCCUCAGGGAAUCUACGAUUUCUUCAAGAUUUAAGGCAGAAAUAUUCAGAGGCCAGGUUACUCAAACAAGACCAACCAUUUUUUGUUAGUUUUUUUAUUUUUCUUUUCUGCAAAAUAUUACCUAAAGGUAGCCCUAAGCACUAAGGGAUUGAGGUUUCUAUUUAGUCUACAACUGAACUAACAGGUUUUUGCUACCUGUGGGUAUCAACUUGGGAUUUCAGUUAGUUAAGCAGCUUUGGAUCUAAAAUAAAACACUUAAGGGACCAGUGAAAAUGUAGAUUGCAAGAAAUCUGCAGACUUUGGAACUUAUCAAUUUAUUAAAAUUUACUUUUUUUUAGAACAAUUUUAGGCUUACAGAAAAACUCUAAAGAGAGUAUAGAGAAUUCCCACAUAUUCCGUACUUACAUUCCCCUUCGUGUCUGACUGAAACCCCAUCUGUGUGCCCUCUCUUUACAUAAAUGUAAUAAAACCUAGGCAUUAUUAUAUUUUUGUAUUUCCUACUGUGUCUAUAUGUGCUCAUUCAUGCUAUGCCCUAACAAUUAUAUAUGUAUUAUAUAUAUAUACACAUUACAUGCAUAAUAUACAUAUAUAUUAUAUGUAUGUAUGUGUAUGUGUUGUAGAUAUGAAAAUUGAUAUUUUGUAUUUUAAAUUUGGGAAUAGAAAUCUAUAGUACUGCCCGAAUAAUGCCAUCGCACUUGGCUUAAGAAACCAAGAACAGCUUUGAGAGGUGAGAGAGUCCAUGGAAAGCUGGAAUCUGUCCACCUUCUGAUGAAAUUUGACCCUCUAGGGGGAACUACCAAUAGGGUAAAAGAUGCCACCUCUGCUGUGAAACCUACACCACAGCCUUUGCUCUUUGUAUUAAUUCUGGACUUAUUUCUAAGGAUCAAGGAUAGUGGAGCAUGGUAGAAAGAAUUUUGUAAUAUUAUCAAAUGUUUCAACCUCUUAUCUUUGAAAUAUAGGGUUGGGACUAAAUAAUCUUUAAAGUCCCUUCUCAGUCAUAAUAUUGCGUGGGGCAGAGGUGAAAGGAGUGCUUUAUAUGGAUAAAGAAAAAUUCUCAUCAAUCUGUAUCCUUUUGUCCUGUGCAUUAUCAAAAGAAAGACAAAAAUAUAGAAUUUGCUUUAAGCCAUGUUUAUUCCAAGCUAAUGUAAAAUUGAGAAGUUUGAUUAAAAAUCAAACAUGUUGAAAAUACUUAGAAGUAUAAUGGGCCGUGGAGAAACAUUAGAGAUUUUGUCCUUAAAAAAGGUAAAAGUCUUUGAAUAACAUUUACUUAAUAAAUGAUUUGAUGUUUCUUUCAUCAGAAUUAUUGUUUGUGCAAUUGUCUUUUCACUAUGCUGU